rnacentral:rRNA from 1 species
GACGAACGCUGGCGGCGUGCCUAAUACAUGCAAGUCGAGCGGUCCCUUCGGGGAUAGCGGCGGACGGGUGAGUAACACGUAGGCAACCUGCCUUUAAGACUGGGAUAACUAUCGGAAACGAUAGCUAAGACCGGAUAGCUGGUUUUCUCGCAUGGGAGAAUCAUGAAACACGGAGCAAUCCGUGGCUUAAAGAUGGGCCUGCGGCGCAUUAGCUAGUUGGUAGGGUAACGGCCUACCAAGGCGACGAUGCGUAGCCGACCUGAGAGGGUGAACGGCCACACUGGGACUGAGACACGGCCCAGACUCCUACGGGAGGCAGCAGUAGGGAAUCUUCCGCAAUGGACGAAAGUCUGACGGAGCAACGCCGCGUGAGUGAUGAAGGUUUUCGGAUCGUAAAGCUCUGUUGCCCUAGACGAACAGCAGGGAGAGUAACUGCUCUCUGUGUGUCGGUAUAGGAGAAGAAAGCCCCGGCUAACUACGUGCCAGCAGCCGCCGUAAUAC